rnacentral:rRNA from 1 species
AUUGAACGCUGGCGGCAUGCCUUACACAUGCAAGUCGAACGGCAGCACGGGUGCUUGCACCUGGUGGCGAGUGGCGGACGGGUGAGUAAUACAUCGGAACAUGUCCUGUAGUGGGGGAUAGCCCGGCGAAAGCCGGAUUAAUACCGCAUACGAUCUACGGAUGAAAGCGGGGGCCCUUCGGGCCUCGCGCUAUAGGGUUGGCCGAUGGCUGAUUAGCUAGUUGGUGGGGUAAAGGCCUACCAAGGCGACGAUCAGUAGCUGGUCUGAGAGGACGACCAGCCACACUGGGACUGAGACACGGCCCAGACUCCUACGGGAGGCAGCAGUGGGGAAUUUUGGACAAUGGGCGAAAGCCUGAUCCAGCAAUGCCGCGUGUGUGAAGAAGGCCUUCGGGUUGUAAAGCACUUUUGUCCGGAAAGAAAUCCUUGGCCCUAAUACGGUCGGGGGAUGACGGUACCGGAAGAAUAAGCACCGGCUAACUACGUG